rnacentral:rRNA from 1 species
GACAGAGGGUGCAAACGUUGUUCGGAAUUACUGGGCAUAAAGAGCACGUAGGUGGUCUGCUAAGUCGUGUGUGAAAUCCCCCGGCUCAACCGGGGAAUAGCGCUCGAUACUGGCAGGCUCGAGGUCGGUAGGGGUGAGCGGAACUCCAGGUGGAGCGGUGAAAUGCGUAGAUAUCUGGAGGAACACCGGUGGCGAAAGCGGCUCACUGGAUCGAAUCUGACACUGAGGUGCGAAAGCUAGGGUAGCAAACGGG